AAUAGAUACCCUGGUAGUCCACGCCGUAAACGAUGUCGACUUGGAGGUUGUGCCCUUGAGGCGUGGCUUCCGGAGCUAACGCGUUAAGUCGACCGCCUGGGGAGUACGGCCGCAAGGUUAAAACUCAAAUGAAUUGACGGGGGCCCGCACAAGCGGUGGAGCAUGUGGUUUAAUUCGAUGCAACGCGAAGAACCUUACCUACUCUUGACAUCCAGAGAACUUAGCAGAGAUGCUUUGGUGCCUUCGGGAACUCUGAGACAGGUGCUGCAUGGCUGUCGUCAGCUCGUGUUGUGAAAUGUUGGGUUAAGUCCCGCAACGAGCGCAACCCUUAUCCUUUGUUGCCAGCGGUUAGCCGGGAACUCAAAGGAGACUGCCAGUGAUAAACUGGAGGAAGGUGGGGAUGACGUCAAGUCAUCAUGGCCCUUACGAGUAGGGCUACACACGUGCUACAAUGGCAUAUACAAAGAGAAGCGACCUCGCGAGAGCAAGCGGACCUCAUAAAGUAUGUCGUAGUCCGGAUUGGAGU
rnacentral:rRNA from 1 species